AUAACAACAAGGAAAAUGAGAGCUGGGCGCAAGAUCAACAGGUUUCAGAUUUAUCGACGUUGUAAUAACAUGGUCAUAGACCCAGGGGCAAGGGAAUGGAAGAAGCCUUUUUCUAGAUGUUCUCCUGCGAUGAUGAUAUGUUGUAGACCACGGGCAGAAAAUAAUUGGAGGACUCCAGCAUGGCGUAAUGCUUGUAAGAAGCCUUGUGUUUACUGUGAGGCUGCUGGACUUCAGCGAGGAGGCAAAAAAUUGAAGUAUCCAUUAAG